rnacentral:rRNA from 1 species
UACGGUGGGGGCAAGCGUUGUUCGGAAUUACUGGGCGUAAAGGGCUCGUAGGCGGCCAACUAAGUCGGAUGUGAAAUCCCCAGGCUUAACCUGGGAACUGCAUCCGAUACUGGAUGGCUUGAAUCCGGGAGAGGGAUGCAGAAUUCCAGGUGUAGCGGUGAAAUGCGUAGAUAUCUGGAGGAAUACCGGUGGCGAAGGCGGCAUCCUGGACCGGCAUUGACGCUGAUGAGCGAAAGCUAGGGGAGCAAACGGG